rnacentral:rRNA from 1 species
CCCUUAGAUGUUCUGGGCCGCACGCGCGCUACACUGAUGCGUUCAACAAGUUUCCUUGGCCGAGAGGCCUGGGCAAUCUUCUUAAUAUGUAUCGUGAUAGGGAUAGAUUAUUGCAAUUAUUAAUCUUGAACGAGGAAUUCCUAGUAAACGCAGAUCAUCAAUCUGCAUUGAUUACGUCCCUGCCCUUUGCACACACCGCCCGUCGCACCUACCGAUUGGAUGUUCCGGUGAAGCCUCGGGAUGAGGACUGGUGCCUUUAUUGGCAUGAGUUGUUCAGAACUUGUCUAAACCUUAUCAUCUAGAGGAAGGUGAAGUCGUAACA